UACGUAGGGGGCAAGCGUUGUCCGGAAUCAUUGGGCGUAAAGAGCGUGUAGGCGGCCAUGCAGGUCCGUUGUGAAAACUCGAGGCUCAACCUCGAGACGCCGAUGGAAACCGCAUGGCUAGAGUCCGGAAGAGGAGAGUGGAAUUCCUGGUGUAGCGGUGAAAUGCGCAGAUAUCAGGAAGAACACCCGUGGCUAAGGCGGCUCUCUAGUACGGUACUGACGCUGAGACGCGAAAGCGUGGGGAGCGAACAGG
rnacentral:rRNA from 1 species